rnacentral:misc_RNA from 2 species
AGCAGCCGCGGUAAUUCCAGCUCCAAUAGCGUAUAUUAAAGUUGUUGCAGUUAAAAAGCUCGUAGUUGAACUUCGGGGUUCACCCAUUGGUCAGGCUUAAUUGUCUGUACUGGUGAGAUGAGUCUCUACCUUCUGAGGAACUUUCAUGCCAUUUAUUUGGUGUGAUGGGAAAUCAGGACUGUUACUUUGAAAAAAUUAGAGUGUUUAAAGCAGGCUAACGUCUGAAUACAUUAGCAUGGAAUAAUGAAAUAGGACGGAUUGAUUCUAUUUCGUUGGUUUCUAGGGUCACCGUAAUGAUUAAUAGGGAUAGUUGGGGACAUUAGUAUUCAAUUGUCAGAGGUGAAAUUCUUGGAUUUAUUGAAGACUAACUACUGCGAAAGCAUUUGCCAAGGAUGUUUUCAUUAAUCAAGAACGAAAGUUAGGGGAUCGAAGACGAUCAGAUACCGUCGUAGUCUUAACCAUAAACUAUGCCGACUAGGGAUCGGACGCAGUUAAUUUUAUAAUGACGUGUUCGGCACCU